CUACGGGUCGCUGCAGUGGGGAAUAUUGCACAAUGGGCGCAAGCCUGAUGCAGCCAUGCCGCGUGUAUGAAGAAGGCCUUCGGGUUGUAAAGUACUUUCAGCGGGGAGGAAGGGAGUAAAGUUAAUACCUUUGCUCAUUGACGUUACCCGCAGAAGAAGCACCGGCUAACUCCGUGCCAGCAGCCGCGGUAAUACGGAGGGUGCAAGCGUUAAUCGGACUUACUGGGCGUAAAGCGCACGCAGGCGGUUUGUUAAGUCAGAUGCGAAAUCCCCGGGCUCAACCUGGGAACUGCACCUGAUACUGGCAAGCUUGAGUCUCGUAGAGGGGGGUAGAAUUCCAGGUGUAGCGGUGAGAUGCGUAGAGAUCUGGAGGAAUACCGGUGGCGAAGGCGGCCCCCUGGACGAAGACUGACGCUCAGGUGCGAAAGCGUGGGGAGCAAACAGGAUUAGAUACCCUUGUAGUC
rnacentral:rRNA from 1 species